rnacentral:rRNA from 1 species
GCAUGUCUGAGUUCAUACCUAGUUAAUGUGAGACUGCGAAAGGCUCAGUAUAUCAGUUAUAGUUUAUUCGAUUGUGAAAUCCACAUGGAUAACCGUGGAAAAUCUAGAGCUAAUACAUGCGAAAAAUUGUGGUGUACCUCGGUGCACCGCAAUGCAUUUAUUAGAUUAGGACCAAUUGGCUUAUGCUGGGCAACUGGCGUAAGUUAACGUGGUGAGUCUGGAUAACUGUGCCGAUCGUAUGGCCUAGAGCCGGCGACGUUUCGAUUAAAUUUCUGCCCUAUCAACUAGUUGGUAAGGUAGUGGCUUACCAAGGUGAUAACGGGUAACGGGGAAUCAGGGUUCGAUUCCGGAGAGGGAGCCUGAGAAACGGCUACCACAUCCAAGGAAGGCAGCAGGCGCGCAAAUUACCCAAUCCAGACACUGGGAGGUGGUGACGAGAAAUACCAGGUCGUUCCCAAAAGGAUUCGACACUGGAAUGAGUGCAAUUUAAGCAUUUCAACGAGUAACAACUGGAGGGCAAGUCUGGUGCCAGCAGCCGCGGUAAUUCCAGCUCCAGUAGUGUAUUCUAAAGUUGCUGCGGUUAAAACGCUCGUAGUUGGAGAAGAGAGGUGCUUGGUGCGGGCGGGGAGUGUAGUACGCUUUGUUGUUCGCCUAUGUAUGGGCAUUUGAUGCAGCUAAAACUGUGUCAAGUGUUUACGUGCAUAGAAAGAGGCAAUGUCGUGACACUUGUCGACCAUGCUGCCAGGUCCCUUGUAAUGUUUCGUGAGAAUGGCGUAUGAUCUUUAUUGUAUUGUACGUCGUGUCUUACGUAGUGUGCCUUGAAUAAAUCAGAGUGCUCAAAGCAAGCUAACGCUUGAAUGUUAAUAGCAUGGAACGAAUGUUUGUGAAAGCGGGCAGGGGGCUGCACUUGUGUAGCGCUCUGUUCGCAGCACCAACCACGGAGCGGAACAUUGGUUGCCGUCUUCGGGUGAGGAUUAAGAGGGGCAUUUGGGGGCAUUAGUAUUUGGCCGCGAGAGGUGAAAUUCUUGGACCGGCCAAGGACUAACAAGUGCGAAAGCAUUUGCCAAGUAUGUUCCCUUUAAUCAAGAACGAAAGUGAGAGGUUCGAAGACGAUCAGAUACCGUCCUAGUUCUCACCGUAAACUAUGCCAACCCGGGAUCAGCUCGGAUGAUUUUCAUCUGGAUCCAGGUUGGUCCCCCUGGGAAACCUUGAGUUUUUAGGUUCCGGGGGGAGUAUGGUCGCAAGGCUGAAACUUAAAGGAAUUGACGGAAGGGCACCACCAGGAGUGGAGCCUGCGGCUUAAUUUGACUCAACACGGGAAAACUCACCUGGUCCGGACAUCGAUAGGAUUGACAGACUAAUAGAUCUUUCAUGAUACGGUGGGUGGUGGUGCAUGGCCGUUCUUAGUUCGUGGAGUGAUCUGUCAGGUUGAUUCCGGUAACGAACGAGACCACGGUCUUCAUUUGGGGAUCUAGAAAGCAAUUGGUUUCAAUGCAAGUAGUCUUCUCUUGUAGUGUAGGCGCAAACCGAAGCUGCUGGUUUAGGCUGCUUGUAGGGUGACAAUUCUUGCUUUCUGGUAGGAGUGCUCACGCACCUCCCUAUGGAGAGACAGCCGGAUACUAAGCCGGAGGAAGCGUGGCAAUAACAGGUCUGUGAUGCCCUUCGAUGUUCAGGGCCGCACGCGCGCUACAAUGAUAACGACAGCGAGCGUCUGGGCUGAUAAGUGCCGGGAAAUCUUGUAAAUCGUUAUCGUGCUUGGGAUUGAACAUUGUAAUUAUUGUUCAUGAAAGAGGAAUUCCUUGUACGUGCAACUCACUCAAGUUGUGCGGAAUAUGUCUCUGCCCUUUGUACACACCGCCCGUCGCUACUACCGAGUGAAUGGUGUCAUAAUGUCUUGGGACUGGACGUUGUUGGCAGCGCAAGCUGCGGACGAUGCUAGGAGCAAGACAAA